UCGAAACCUGCACAGCAGAACGACCAGAGAACGUGUUUGUUAUUCAAUCUCCUCGUCCGGGCGCAUGCCUCGGGCGACUAACGAACCCCCGGCGCGGAAGCGCCAAGGAAUAUCGUACUGAGAUGGCCAGCCGCCCGUGCCCCGUCUUUGCGGAUCGCUCGGGAGGCGUCGGCGUCUUACUUAAUAAAAUACGACUCUCGGCAACGGAUAUCUCGGCUCUCGCAUCGAUGAAGAACGUAGCGAAAUGCGAUACUUGGUGUGAAUUGCAGAAUCCCGUGAACCAUCGAGUCUUUGAACGCAAGUUGCGCCCGAAGCCGUCAGGCCGAGGGCACGUCUGCCUGGGCGUCACGCAUCGCGUCGCCCCCCGCUCCGUCCUCGGUCGAGCGCGGGGUGCGGAUGUUGGCCUCCCGUGCCCCAACUCGUGGCGCGGCCGGCCUAAAUGCGAGUCCUUGGCGACGGACGUCACGGCGAGUGGUGGUCGUACCUAGCGUGCAUAUCUUCGAGCCGUGCCCCGUCGUUCUCGGGCGAACGACCCCGAACGAGCCCCCUACAGGCGGCUCUCCGAAGCGAC
rnacentral:misc_RNA from 1 species